CCCCCCCCCCCCCCCCCCCCCCCCCCCCCCCCCCCCCCCCCCCCCCCCCCCCCCCCCCCCCCCCCCCCCCCCCCCCCCCCCCCCCCCCCCCCCCCCCCCCCCCCCCCCCCCCAAAAUCGGGCAAAAAGCGGCAAAAAGGGACAAAAUCGGGCAAAAAGCGGCAAAAUCGGGCAAAAAAGGGACGAAAAGGAUAAACCGGGACCACCUGGACCGGGAAGGGACAAACCAGGACCACCCGAGACAAACCGGGACAAGCAGGAAGGACCGGGACUACCCAGAGACCACCCGGGACAAACCGGGACCACCCGGGACAAAGCGGAACCGGGUUUCGGGAACUCCUCCUGGCGCUAUCUCCAGGGUCGCUCUGUCCGUGUCACCGCUGAGGACGAGUGGCUCUGGUUCGAUGUCACCGACAGUGUCCAGCAGUGGCUGCGCGGCUCCGGUGAGGGACAGGCCCCAAACCCCCAAAAUCACCAAAAUCCACAAAUCGCCAAAAUCCCCAAAAUCCCACAAAUCCCCAAAAUCCCACAAAAAUCCCCCAAAUUGACACAAAAUUCUGG
rnacentral:lncRNA from 1 species